GCGCGAAAACUUUACAAUGCUGGCAACAGCGAUAAGGGAACCUCGAGUGCCAGGUUACAAAUCUGGCUGUCGAGAUGCCUAAAAAGCAUUUCAUGGCAAGGGCCGGGCAAGACCGGUGCCAGCCGCCGCGGUAACACCGGCGGCUCGAGUGGUAACCGUUAUUAUUGGGUCUAAAGGGUCUGUAGCCGGCCGGAUAAGUCUCUUGAGAAAUCUGGCAGCUUAACUGUCAGGCUUUCAGGAGAUACUGUCUGGCUCGAGGCCGGGAGAGGUGAGAGGUACUUCAGGGGUAGGGGUGAAAUCUUGUAAUCCUUGAAGGACAACCAGUGGCGAAGGCGUCUCACCAGAACGGACCUGACGGCAAGGGACGGAAGCUAGGGGCACGAACCG
rnacentral:rRNA from 1 species